rnacentral:rRNA from 1 species
CCCAAUUAUUAGUUCCUGUUACGACCUAUCGCCUGUUUUUCAAAAACAUGUCCUCUUGAUAAUAUUUUGAGGUCUGGUCUGCUCACUGAAGAAUUUUAAAUAGCCGCGGUAUUUUGACCGUGCAAAGGUAGCAUAAUCAUUAGUCUUUUAAUUAAAGGCUGGAAUGAAUGGCUUGACGAGAAAUUAACUGUCUCUUAAUAAUUUUUAAAAUUUAACUUUUGAGUCAAAAGGCUUAAAUUUUUUUUAAGGACGAAAAGACCCUAUAAAGCUUAACAUUAAUAUUAUAUUUGGUUUUUAGUUAAUCUUUCUAAAUUUAAUGAUAAUGUUUUGUUGGGGUGACAUGAAAAAUAAUUAAACUUUUCAUUAUUAAAUCAUUGAUAAAUGUUUUAUUGAUCCAUAAUUUAUGAUCAUAAGAUUAAGUUACCUUAGGGAUAACAGCGUAAUUGUUUUUGAAAGCUCAUAUCAACAAAAUAAAUUGCGACCUCCAUGUUGGAUUAAAAUAAAUCUUGGGUGCAGUAGCACACGUUCCCAUUUUAACGUCCUUUU